CCACUGCACUGCAGAAUUUAACGAUUUUUAGUAAAUGUAUAGUUGUACAGCCAUCACAAAAAUCUGAUUUUAGAACGUUUGUAUCAUCUACCUAAAAGUUCCCUGUGUUCAUUUGGAGUCAAUACCCCUUUUGACUACAUACCCAGACACCUAGAAGUGAAAUGACUGGGUCAUAUUGAUACGGCAGCAGCAGGCAGUCCUGAGCGGCCGCUGCCAUCGCGCCGGCUGCAGCGGAAAGGUACAAGCGGUGGCGGCAGGAGCCGCUGUGGGAGCAGCAGUGGCGGCAGUGGGAGCCCUGUGCCACGCGUCCCCUGUGCGCCGUGUCCCCAAGGCAGCUGACUACACCUCCCCCACCCUCCUGCAGCAGGGUGGAUCCCACCUAGCGGGACUCCCCACCCACCCCUCCAGGCCUUCUCCACUCCGGACUCUGGCCACUUGCCACCGUUGUCGCCCGCCGCCGCUGCAGGGAGGGUGCACGGAGGGAGCAGACCGUCUCCGGAGCCCGCCGCCCUGGGGGCUGCAGUGAUGGGGCCGGGCUGAGGCACCUGCCGGCGGGGUAGCAGGGCAGUCGAGCACGGAGGGAGGGGCGGGCCUCCAGGGGACUUCAGCGGGAGCCGGGCCUGGGGCGGUGCCGCACUUGCACACGGAGUGUGGGGGGCCAGGCCUGGGACCAGGAGCUGGGGCCGGGCUUCGGCGCAGAGGCAGGAAGAGGAAGCGGCACCCGCUUCGGGGACCCAGCCGGCGGCCAGGCCACCGCGCCCACCCGGCCGAUGGCACCGUGUUCCUGCGCCUCGGGAGGGAGGAGGCUCUGCGCGGGACUGCAGGUUCUGCCCCGCAUCGGAGUGAUCGCUGAGCCUGACGCUCUCGAAGGCUGGGCCUGGGGCCCGCAAUCUACUCCGGAGGCUUUCCCACUGGGCAGGGUCGCUAGCAGGGUGAGAGAAAGCCCCGGGCCAUCCCCGAGUGCCGGGGCCACAGGAAGAAUUUGUGGCGACAUCAUCCCUUCCCCAGGUGCCACCCGGGUGCAGUGAGGACCUGGAGCCCCUGCCCCAGGCUGUGAGGAGACUUGACCAGAGCUGCCUGAAUGCUCCACGGAGCAGCAGGAGGAAGCAUUCCCAUGUGAAAGAUGAGCUCCCUAUAAAAGCAACGCUCUUAUCAUCGAGAACAGAAAGUUGAAGCCAAGAGAGAGCUCCACAAGCUGACCUUGUUAAACUAACCCUUAUCUUCUUAGUCGCUUCUUUACCCAAUUAACUACCCUAGCCGAAGCCCCUUUGCCUUAUUACAUUUUGCAACAGUGUUCGUUGUCCAAUUCAGUAUACAAGUGAGUGACUCUGGAUGCUUUUUGGGGUCUUCGUUUCCUUAUGAGGGCUUCUGUGCCAUGUAAAACUUGUAUUAAAUAAAUUUGUAUGCUUUUCUCCUGUUAAUCUGUCUAUAUCGAUUGAACUUUAGGGUCCAGUCAGAACCCAAAGAGGAUGGAGGUGGAGUUUUGGCUCCUCUACAGCUAUCUGAAUAAUCAAAAUUCAAGAUAUUCCAUGUUCUUUCUGAGUUUCUUUGAAAUUAAAAAUGCAGACAACCACUCAACUAAUACGUCAGCGAGAUACGUUUUCUGUCCUUAUUGCCUUACUGAUGAAAUUGCCUUUAUUCAUAAAAAAUAAAUGUGGGAGUCUUGUUUAUUUAUUUCUAAUGACAUUAACUUGACAUUAACCUUGGUGCUCUUGGGAACCAUAAAUGGGCCCUGUACUACUUGUUACAGAGUAUAAAUUCCCAGAACUACAAGUACAUCAUAUUCCUCAAGUUACUGAAGAAUUUCAUGAUCCAUGUGUCAGGCCUCUGAGCCCAAGCUAAGUCAUCAUAUCCCCUGUGACCUGCACGUAUACAUCCAGAUGGCCGGUUCCUGCCUUAACUGAUGACAUUCCACCACAAAAGAAGUGAAAAUGGCCUGUUCCUGCCUUAACUGAUGACAUUGUCUUGUGAAAUUCCUUCUCCUGGCUCAUCCUGGCUCAAAAGCUCCCCCACUGAAUACCUUGUGACCCCCAACUCCUGCCCGCCAGAGAGCCACCCCCCUUUUUCCUUUACCUACCCA
rnacentral:lncRNA from 1 species